rnacentral:misc_RNA from 1 species
AGGCGUGGUGGGUACGCGACAUUUUGCUGGUUAUCGACUUGUGUGCCUCUGGCGUUGUGUUUGGUGGUUUUUCGUGUGCGUUUUGGGGCACCCGGUCUCGUGUUUUAUCGGACGCGUCUCGUAGAUAUGUGAAAGGGGGCAGGCGAAGUGCCCCAUAAUGUUCGUAUACAGGUGAAGUGGGCCCCAUGUGGAUCGACCAUGGACGCAGAAACUAAGCAGAGGCACCGGCGAAGAAAAAGGGCUUUGCGUAUGGCUCAGGCCCAGCGCGAAAUGGCCAAAGAAGGGGAUAGUGGUGAGGAUGACUCUCCCGUUAGGGAGAAACCCCAGCGGCCCCCAAACAGACGUAAAAAAUCAAAGGAACCCCUCGUCGAAGAGGACAUCAUAGAUGGCUUUGCCAUACUUGGAUUUAAAUCUUAUGAGGACUUGGAGUUGGCGCUAAAGAUUCAAACCAAGGAGAACGUGAAAAGACUGGUAGACGUCGAGAGGCCGAAACUCGACCCCAUAAGGCCACACAUCAUAACGCACCACAUCUCCGCGCACCACGCACACGGUCUAACGUUACAAGAUCCUGCCACAAGCGAUGAUAGUGGUAGAGCGUCUGAAAGACUUACAAGUUCCUCAGUGGCUCCCAGAGACGCUGACAGCUCCAGGGAUAGACUUAGUGAUGCGAGCAGUCGCUGCAGUUCUGGCAAAGGAUAUAUCUGUGAUAGCGAGGGGGAUGACGAUAAGGGUUCCGAUGCGAGUUCGGUGAUAUUCGGUUCAGCCCCGGCGUCUCGGAAACACGAGUUUCCGGGUGCUUUACCUCCGAGCCUCCCUUUGAGCAAUGGAACGAGUAACUCCCCGGUGCCGGCGCCGACGCCCCCCGACUUGCCGGCACCGCUUCCGGCACCCGCGCAACUUCCUCCACCGCCUCCGCAACAUACGGCGGCAUCGGCCGCCGUUAGGAUAGAAGAAAAACCACCCCCACCGAUCCCACAAACGAUAUCUAGGGCUAUAUCACUUGAUAAAAAAAUUACGGCAACUGCAAUGGAUAUUCAAUUAACGGGUGCUCCAAAUUCACCGGUAACAAUCGGCGGACCCGGAGUGCCACCACAACAACCGCAACAACAACCGGCUCCGGCAGUGCCAAUGUUGCCACCCCACGAUUUGGCGCCAACAUCAAAUCGGUCCAGAACGGAAAGUCCGGCGGUCGCAACAUCUGCACCGGCUUAUCACGCUCCUUAUCAACCCCUUUACACACCGUACUCCCAAACACCGUAUUCGGCCCCCGUACACCAACCACCGGCGACUGUUACCGCUGUUGUUACGACUUCCGUUCCAACGGUUCAAGCGGUACAUCCGGUUCAUCCGGCAACGGUGGUCAGUAGGACCGCAUCAUCACCAAGGGGGCAUUCGCCGACGAGGGAAAGGGAAAGUUACAGCAGCAACGUAAGCAGUUUGAGUCGGAGCAGUGUAGCGACCCCGCAAGGAACAUCAAGUGGUAUUCCUCAACCCCAACCGGGUCAACCGACGCCAGCAGCCACCACGGUGUCUUCGUCUAGUCUAAGCUUAAAUAAAGUGUGGUCGGGGGCGGCUCAAGCCACUCAAUUGAGCCCCGCGCCUCCGCCUCGACCAACCCCGCCACUACACCAAUCGUUCACGCAACCGCCGAUGUUCGCAGCACCGCUUCCGCCAUCGUCUUCGGUGGCGCGAGCGUCGCCGUUAGCACCGACGGUGGCAUCGCAACCGCCCGCGUCGUCUGCUCCAAAUCCGAACCCGUUUUCUGCCGAGAAUCUCUUCCAAACGAACCAAGCGGACAUGCUUCGGAGGGAAUUGGAUAAUAGGUUUUUGGCGACGCAGGAUCGUUCUUUGAAUGUGGCGCCACCGCCGUAUCUUCGGACGGAAAUGCACCAACAUCAACACCAUCAUACGCACGUUCAUCAACAUACGACGAGUCUUUUACCACCACCACCAGCGUCUACGUUGUUUCCUUCUCCUUUGUUCAAGGACAUCCCAAAGUUGGGCUCCGUGGAAUCGCCUUUCUACCGUCAAAAUAUGGCUAUGUCCAAUUACCCGGGGUACACUCCUAGUCUUCUACACCCAGGCCUAACGGCCGGGCCCACACCGUUUGUGCCCCCUAAUCAUUUGGGACCAUUCCAACCAAAAGCGAUAGUGCCCGACCCCAGCAAACCCAAACCCACGAAAACGGGCAAGUGGAACGCGAUGCACGUGCGGAUAGCGUGGGAGAUUUAUCAUCACCAACAGAAAAGCGGCGAAGUCAAAUCUGGUCCAGCCAAAGAUCUAUUACGACCACCGACGCAUCUGUUUUCACCCAGUGUACAUCCGACACGACCACAUGAUCUAUCAUCGUUUCCCCCCUCGCUGCCUCAUCGACCACCAACUUACGACCAACCACCACACCACAGUUCCUUAUUUACAAGUCCUGCCUCACAUAUAGGUAGAUCAACAAUAUCUCCAUUCACCCGUUAUGGUACAACUGGUUUUAGUCCAGCGGGUGCUUCUCCUUUUGGAGUAUCGCCGUUCGCCGGCGGAAGAGAUUUGGGGUUGCAAUUACACGAUCCCUGGCGGAGUCUCCAACGGACAGUGCCAACAUUUCCUAGUGUUAGUGCCCUACCACCUAGUUUACCCGGAUUACCACCUCCCGCUCCGUGGGCAAUGAAACCUGAUCCACUCAUCGAACAACGGGAACGAGAAGAACGCGAACGACAGGAGAGGGAACGGGAAAGACUUCGAAGGGAACGGGAGGAACGCGAAAGGAGGGAGAGGGAAGAAAAACAAAGACGAUUAGAACAACAGGAGCGAGAACGUGAACGUCGUGAAAAAGAACGCCGCGAACAAGAACGAUUAGAACGAGAACAACGUGAACGCGAACGACUUCUCCAUCAGCAACGCCUCGAAUCGUCAAAAGCCCUAAAUCCAGUUCUACGCGAUCGAUCCCCACACAGAAAUGGUCUUUUGGAUCACGGGGAAGUCGUUCGAAUUAAAGAGGAACCUCGCUCGAAGGAAGAGGAACUCGCCCGCGUAACCGACCCCCGCUACCAUCCGUACCUGCGUCCACCAGCUCACGCGAUGCAACCCCCAAUGUUGGAUCGGGCACGUAUGCUUAGUCAAACAUUGGGUCAUCCGUACCAACCGCCAACUUCCCAUUGGCCCCCGCCGCCUCCCGCGGACGCGUUUUACCGAUACGACCACCUGAGAUACAAUCCGCUGAUCGACGCGAUGCGAGCGGAAGAGGAACGCGCGAAACUGUUCGGUGGGUAUGCGCCGCAUCCGGCGCAAUUACGGACAAAAGACCCCGCGUUGAUGCAUUUGAGGGGCCCCGGGCCGCCCCCACCUCUUGCACAUAAAUUGUGCGCGACACCUCCCACUGAUUUACACAAAAAGGAGGAGCCUCGAUAGCAGGAUCGAGGGUUGAGAAUUGAUUUGGAAGGAUCUAAACAACGAGUUGAAAGAUGAAGAUAGAAAAAAGACUUGAAAUUAUUAGAAAACUCAAGAGACAUAA